rnacentral:rRNA from 1 species
GAUGAACGCUGGCGGCGUGCCUAAUACAUGCAAGUCGAGCGAACAGACGAGGAGCUUGCUCCUCUGACGUUAGCGGCGGACGGGUGAGUAACACGUGGAUAACCUACCUAUAAGACUGGGAUAACUUCGGGAAACCGGAGCUAAUACCGGAUAAUAUAUUGAACCGCAUGGUUCAAUAGUGAAAGACGGUUUUGCUGUCACUUAUAGAUGGAUCCGCGCCGCAUUAGCUAGUUGGUAAGGUAACGGCUUACCAAGGCGACGAUGCGUAGCCGACCUGAGAGGGUGAUCGGCCACACUGGAACUGAGACACGGUCCAGACUCCUACGGGAGGCAGCAGUAGGGAAUCUUCCGCAAUGGGCGAAAGCCUGACGGAGCAACGCCGCGUGAGUGAUGAAGGUCUUCGGAUCGUAAAACUCUGUUAUUAGGGAAGAACAAAUGUGUAAGUAACUAUGCACGUCUUGACGGGACCUAAUCAGAAAGCCACGGCGAACUACGU